CAAGAGCGUAUGUAAAAGUUGUUGCAGUUAAAAAGCUCGUAGUUGAACCUUGGGUUUGGUUGGCCGGUCCGCUUUUUUGCGAGUACUGGAUUCAACCGAGCCUUUCCUUCUGGCUAACCAGUCGUUUCGGCGGCUGGCGAACCAGGAUUUUUACUUUGAGAAAAUUAGAGUGUUCAAAGCAGGCAUUAGCUUGAAUAUAUUAGCAUGGAAUAAUAGAAUAGGACGUUAUGGUUCUAUUUUGAUGGUUUCUAGGACCAUCGUAAUGAUUAAUAGGGACGGUCGGGGGCAUCAGUAUUCAGUUGUCAGAGGUGAAAUUCUUGGAUUUACUGAAGACUAACUACUGCGAAAGCAUUUGCCAAGGACGUUUUCAUUAA
rnacentral:rRNA from 1 species